ACAAACUUGGUCAUUUAGAGGAAGUAAAAGUCGUAACAAGGUUUCCGUAGGUGAACCUGCGGAAGGAUCAUUAACAAAUUAUCCAUUAUGGAUGGUUUAAAAUCCAUAUCCACCCUUCGUGUGCACAUCAUUGACAUGUUUGCUUUGGCAGUCUUUUUUUUUUUUUCUGCGGGGAAGAGAAGGGAAGAGAAUUUUCUUCUUCUUCACCGAGAUGCUGCCAGAGUUUUUCACCCUUUUUCACCUUGACAAACUUUUGCUUUUUCCUUCUGGAAAGCAAGUCCUUUGAAAAAAGUUAACAAAAUAAAAAUCGAAUACAACUUUCAACAACGGAUCUCUUGGCUCUCGCAUCGAUGAAGAACGCAGC
rnacentral:misc_RNA from 1 species